GAAAUGCGAUAAGUAAUGUGAAUUGCAGAAUUCAGUGAAUCAUCGAAUCUUUGAACGCACCUUGCGCUCCUUGGUAUUCCGAGGAGCAUGCCUGUUUGAGUGUCAUUAAAUUCUCAACCAUUAUCAACUUUUGCUGGUAAUGGCUUGGAUGUGGGGGUCUAUUUUGCUGGCUUCUCAGAUAGUCAGCUCCCCUUAAAUGCAUUAGCCGGUGCCCCGCGUGGACUGUCUAUUGGUGUGAUAAUUAUCUACGCUAUGGACAUCUGCAAUCAUAUGGGUUUGCGCUGCUUCUAACAGUCUGUUGAUUCAGACAAUACAUGACAAUUUGACCUCAAAUCAGGUAGGACUACCCGCUGAACUUAA
rnacentral:misc_RNA from 1 species